rnacentral:misc_RNA from 1 species
AUGGUCACACUAGUAAGCGUGGUGGAAGUUGGAAAAAAAUAUAAAAAGCACAUGUCUUUAAGUUUUAGUUAUAUAUUGUUUUAAAAGCUUAUUACAUGGUGUCGAGCACUAUCAGAGUUGGAUUGCUCAAUAUUGGCACAAGAAUGGCCAAAGUGGAAACAAAGCUUAUGUACAUGCACAUGUUGACUGGUCUGGAAAAGAUGCGGAUCCAGAGCCUAUGAAGAUAGCCACUUUCUUGUGGUUGGCGGGUUCUAAAGCAACGGGAAUCUACAAAGCAAAGUUUCCCAACGAUGGACAACAAACAGUAUGUUAGGAACUGCAGCAACGUCAGCAGACCCUUCAUCAUCAACUGUGCAAGCUGUUGGUCGCCCACUGGACGAUGUACUGACAGCAUUCGACAAACGUAGUAUUCCAUUUCGAAAUACUACAAUGGAAACCUAUAAAUUCAAUAAUAUUAAACAGGCAGAUGGACAGCCUUGUAUUGAAUUCGAAAUGCAACUAUGCAAGCAAAUACAGUCAUGCGAUUUUGAGGGUACCUGUGGCCAAAAGUACGAAGAAAGAAUGCUAAUGGAUCGUACCAUUAUUGGCAUAAACGAUAAAAGGCUACAACUAAAGGUUCAAGAGUCAAAAAAUAAGAAGCUAGAGGAUGUACUAAACGAGUGCAAAGCCUAUGAAGCUGCUACGGAAAAGAACGCGAUUAUACAAAAUCGGCUACGUGUUUUGUUGGAGAGCAGUACCAUCAAUGCUGUUGCUCGAAAAUGCUUUAAUUGUGGAGCUAUAUUUAACCCAAAUCAUCUGGUCGAGUGCCGCGGCAAGGAGGCGACAUGUUGUCAAAAACUGGGACAAUUUGCGAGAUACUAUUCUUAUCUUGGUGGAAUAACAGAUCUAUGGCCGCAGCAUGGUAGAGAGCAGACUCCAAUCCUCGAGAGUUGUAACGUUUAGGCGGGAGGAAAGGGGGGGUUGAUUCCAAGCCUCAUGGAAACCUCGUGCAGGGGGAUCUUUUGCCAAUGAGUUUAAUGCAGCGCUCCAGUUUUCAAGCCCUAAUUAUCCUCAGAGCAAUGGAUUGGCAGAAAAAGAAGUGACAAUAGCAAAAAAUAUCCUAAAACGUUGCUCACAAGUAAAUGAUUAUAUAUAUAGGAUCCUUGAAUACAACGCUACCCCAGUAGCAAAUUUAGAUCCAGCACCAUGCGAAUUAUUCUUUGGAAGAAUGUGCAAGACCAUAUUACCAAUAAAGACUGCAUUAUAUGGAAAUAAAAUUAAUGAAGAAAUAAUCUCACGGAAGUUUAUCGAAAAAAAAAGGAAACAAAAAAAUAUUACGACAUGCACUUAAGAAGCCUGCACUCAAGUCCAUUUAUUAAAGGUGAUAGGGUUCAAUUUAGAAAAAAAAAAUGAAUGGGUUAAAGGAGUAGUCAAAAAAAGAGUAAACGAAAGGUCUUAUAUCAUAAGGGAUGAUUUUAAUAGCCAUUUUAGAAGAAAUAAAAGACUUAUGAAUAAAAUAAGUGGAGGAAACGCCUGUGAAGAUAUUGACUAUUUUCAUGAUUUUAUAAGUACAAACUUAAGUGAAAACAAAGAGAUUCCAAAAACUUAUAGUAAUUUAAGACAACAAGAAAAUGGUGUUAAAUUAAGUGAGACUGAGAAUAUUAUUAAUGAAAGUAUUGAAAAUGAAUUGAAUUGUGAAGAAAUUGAAAAUGAAGACGAAAUUGUAGACGUAAUUGAAAACACUAUUGUCAAUGAGGACGGAGGUGAUGUAUCUAAUUAUGAAACAGCUGGAAGCUCCAGUUCAGAGGACGAGACUAAAAUAGGAACCCAAACACAAGUUUCGCGAUCUGGAAGAAAAGAUACGGAUGGAAUUGAGUUAACUAAAACUAAAAAAAAA